CCCCCGGUAGCGUAGCCUGGUAACGCAUCCGGCUGUAGACCGGAAGAUCGCUGGUUCAAAUCCGGCCCGGGGGA
rnacentral:tRNA from 1 species